GUGCUCACUUUGGCAGCAUUUACACUAAAAUUGGAAUGAUACAGAGAAGAAAAGAUGACAUGCAAAUUUGUGAAGCAUUCCAUAAAUUU
ensembl:snRNA U6 U6 spliceosomal RNA